GAUAGGUUCACUUUUAUCUGCAAAUAGGAAAAUACUUCCCACGUCCAUUGCCUGUCACAGUGCAAAGUGUUAAUUGAAAGCUUCCAUUUUUGAAGCAGCUGGGAUAGGGCCCAAGGUUCUCAGGUAACAGGUUUCUCCACACUGGUCCCAGCACAGUUGUUGUCUUUACAACCCCAUUUUGCUCAAAUGGUUGUGCCUGGAUCUGUCAAUGGAAAGUUUUCAUCACCUCAGCACUGAGAUCGCCUUUUAUCCCUUUGCCAGACACGAAACAGCAACACAGCAUUAAGGGCUUUGUUGGAGUGAAUUUGUUAUCCUCUCACCUGCUUGGUGAGAUAAAAUAAGGGAUCAGAGCUGUGUGAGCUACUAUCACAAUGGAAAGACAUGCUCAUAAGCAAGAGUAUGUAUGAGUGCUUAUAUGCACAGAAAAUCGUGUGUAUUUGCCAAGUAAAUCUCACUGGAAAGUUGCUGAAGACAUACUGUGAAUAACAGUAAACUAGGGUGAGCCAUUCCUGCUCUCCCUUCUCAUCCAGGGUUGACUCCUGUUAUUUUUACAUCCUCUGUUUCUUUUGUUACAGUGUUAAUAAAGCCACUUUAACAAGAUCACUAGGUUUAAACAAAACAAAUAAAUAAAUGGAAAAUUGAAUUUUCAAUACCAGCUACCAGUACGCUUUUUUAAAGUAGACAGUGGUGUAAAUGGCACAAAAUCGGCAUGGAGAGACAGUCAAGCCACCCCAGACAGCAGGCACGACAAAAGACUUCCGCAUGAAACCAGCACACUGCUGCAGGAUAAACCUGCCCUUCCCACCCCAAAGACAUUCAGGCUGCUCUGAUGCUGAGCAUGCUGACCCACAGCCUUCUCAGCAGUGGCUGGGAUCCUGUUGGGGCACCCAGCAUACCCUUGCUGCUGUAUUUCAGCCACUUAUUCCUGCCAGAAGAGGAGAUUGAAUUCCAGCUGAUAACACUGGCAUUCAGCUCUGAAGACCGGACAAGAAUGUGCUCACUCUUCAGUCUUGGAAGGAGACUCUGCAAACAGUGCUAUAUCCAGCAAAGUUUUAUAGACUCAGGAUUAUCUCCAGCAUCUGUGCAGGAAACAUGAGAAAGGACAUUCUCUCUGGUUUAAGAUGUUGCUAACGAGGAAGCCAAGUUGGAAAUUGUAAAGAUAGCAUGAUAGCAACAGCUUGCCACAUCCAGAAGAAGAAAAAUCAAAACCUAUCUUUUGCGUAUGAGAGGAAAAUGCUGAUGUUUGUGUAAUGAAAUAUAAUAAUGAUAUCCAAUGUUUAUGUUUUUAAUAAUUUUUCUAUUGUGAUAUAUAGUAUACAUUAUAAGGUAUUUUAUAUGUCAUGUAUAUAAUACUAAUUAUAACAUUGGUCUGAUGGGCUGCUUAAGAAAAGAAUUUUGUACUCAUUUCAUUGCUCUGAUCUCUGAAAACAAAUGUGGUAUUCAGUAUUUCCAUUAAAAGAACCAAUUCCUAUAUAUUUACUGGACGCAUUUAAAUGAUUAGUGACACCUAUCUCCAGCUAGGUCCUUUCAUUUCAACUUGAGCUCUGUAGAAUAGAUCAAGACCAAUACAGAAACAAAGACAGGACCAGGAGCUGCCCCACCUCAUCAGCUCCUGCUGGUGAUAGGAAGGAUGAUGCUAACACAGCCUGUGGACUUACCUCCACAGCUAAAUUUAGCUCAGGACAUGGAAUUAAACCAAACAGUGCCCAGCGUAUGUUUCUGUGAUUCUUUUGCAGAUAAGCCAGGCUCAGGCAGGGAGAAACCUGGAUGAGUUGUGAGCAAAUUAGCGCAAAUUUAGCAGCUUUUGCUCAGUGAGCAGCAGAUUCAGUCUCUCAGUUCUAGAUCUGGCCUGCUAAAUCCAUCAUGGAACAUGAGAAAAGAACGUCCACAGAUGACUGAGUUUGUUACCAGUGGCUUGGCACUGGAGUUUGAGGGUAUGUCAGCAGGCCAGGGCUCAUAGCACCAGUCACCACCACAUUCAGAACCUUCUCGUAGAGGAGGUUAGGCUCCCCACAUCUAGGCCUGCCUCCCCAAUCAGCUCCUGGCCAGUAUGUGGUUGCUUGUGAUAUCGCCCAACUUUCUAACUCUUUCCCCACAGGAGAAGGUUCACACGUGGGCACUUGAGUGUGGGCAAGCAAAAAGCAGGACCAUGUGGUGGGAAACAGAGUGAAGAGGAGCAGAAAUAAAGCAGGAAGAAAGGGCA
rnacentral:lncRNA from 1 species